GCACACUGACAGGAACCUCCGGCCUCCUCAGGACACACUGUGAAGUUUUGGGAAGAUUUGGAGCCCUGUCAAUGCUGACAGGAGCCCCCAGCCUCCUCAGGUCUUAUGGUGAGGCUUGAGGAAAAUGUGGGUCCACCUCAACACUGACAGGACCCCCGUCCACCUCAGGACCUGCACUUAUGCUUCGGGAAAUAUGGGGCUGGGUCUAUGCUGACAGGAGCCCACAGCUUCAUCAGGACCCACAGUGAGUUUUCUGGGGGAUGUGAGGCCAUGUCUAGGCUGACAGGAGCCCCCAGCCUCCUGAGGACUUGCUGUGAGGAUGUGAGGAUGUGAAGCUUCCAGAGGAUGUGAGGCAUAGUCCACAGUGACAGGAGACACGGCGUCCUCUGGACCCACUGACUAUGACACAGGAACACGUGGGACCAUGUCCGCACUGACAGGAGCCUGGCUUCCUCAGGACCCCCUGGAGGACUCUGGAGGCGCCGUUGGGGGCCACGUCCAUAUCAGAACGGACUCCUCUGAACCACAGGGGGCCUGGGAUGGAUGGACCUGUUCGAACCCUGAACUUAAAGAGGAAAGACCUUCAUUUUCUUGGCCUCCUUGCAUCACCUCCCAUCAUAUCUAGCUCUUUCCCCCUUCCCCGGAGCUCCUGAGAGAGCAAUUGCAAAAGACCUCAGCUUGGCAGGGUCUGUUGGGGGACAGGCCCAGGGAUUUGGGAUCAGGAAGACCUGAGGCACGGGCUUCCCAGCUGUGCAGCGGGAUUCCAUGCUGCAGACUCUUAUUCCCUAAGGCUAUCUUGACAACUGACUUUAUACAUAGAAAAGCUCUCCUUUAUCUUUAAAAGAUGAAGAGCCAGUCAAAGCCUUUUUUCUCUGCCCAUCUGAUUGCUCAGAUUCCAAUGUGAGACGUAUUUCCUGUUAAUAAGGAUAAUUUACUAUCCGUAGUACUAUGGUUAAAAUAUUCUGACACAAGUAAUUCAGAGGGAUGAGGGUUUCUCAUCUCUUUCUUCACAGCUCAGUCACUCCUCAGGAAAUGGAUCGUUAUGGAUUUGGAAAUAACUGAGAGACAUUAUUACCAAUGGUCCUAUUAUUAUGUGAAGGAUCCUUCCCUGAGAUUCUUCCCCUGUUUCAACUGACACUGAAACACUUUGAACUCUUUGGAAGACAAAUGUCAAGGAAAUAAAUGUUAUGCGCUGCUAAUUUUAAAUGCA
rnacentral:lncRNA from 12 species